GACUUGGGCCCCUUUGUGGGAAAUGGUGUC
rnacentral:piRNA from 1 species